ACCCAGUGUGAUUCGUCACACUAUCAUUAACUGAAUCCAUAGGUUAAUGAGGCGAACCGGGGGAACUGAAACAUCUAAGUACCCCGAGGAAAAGAAAUCAACCGAGAUUCCCCCAGUAGCGGCGAGCGAACGGGGAGCAGCCCAGAGCCUGAAUCAGUGUGUGUGUUAGUGGAAGCGUCUGGAAAGGCGCGCGAUACAGGGUGACAGCCCCGUACACAAAAAUGCACAUGCUGUGAGCUCGAUGAGUAGGGCGGGACACGUGGUAUCCUGUCUGAAUAUGGGGGGACCAUCCUCCAAGGCUAAAUACUCCUGACUGACCGAUAGUGAACCAGUACCGUGAGGGAAAGGCGAAAAGAACCCCGGCGAGGGGAGUGAAAAAGAACCUGAAACCGUGUACGU
rnacentral:rRNA from 1 species